GGCCUAAGAACUAGCUCCAUACAAACUGGUGGCUUUGGAAGCAAGUUCAUCAACUUGGACUUCAUAUCCUAUGUUUGAUUCCUCAACUGGAUGCCUGGAGCACUUCAAAUGCCAGAACCAGAGCUCGUCAGGUCUCGAUUCUGUUGUCUACUUGAGGAUCUACGUACUCGGGUUCAAGAAUUUUUCCCCAUAGCUUGCGUUGCUUUUACAACAAUGGUGCAUGUUAAUUGGAAAAACAAGGGAUUGGAUGGAUUAAAACACUCUAAUAUAAGCUACAGUGAUAUUGAUAAGCUUUCAUUGUCAAAUAUACCAAAUGGAUCAGACAUGUGAGCUAUACAUUUCCCAGAGUUUGGUUCUUUUUCUUCUUUGUUCCAUUAGUGUAAUGGUUAUUCAUUUUUCUAUAGAUUUUGGGUGCAUCUGUGUAUGGCUUAUGCAAUCACCUUCUGGACAUGCUUAAUGCUGAAAAGAGAGUAUUAGAAUAUAGCAGGUUUCAGUUUCUU